ACACCGCAUUAUUUACCAAAUUCAUACUCUGCUUUCUGUGCCUAAAGUUAUGUGUGAUGAUCUCAUUUAUGAGUCACUUCAGAACUCGUGGAAGAUAAAAGCAUCACCAAAACCUUACUGCACUUUUUUUCUUCUCUGUUUUGUCUUUGCGAGCCCAGAUUCCUGAAAGCGAGGCGUGAAGGUUUCAUCCCAAAGUGCCAAAGAACCUUUUCUUUUUAUCCCACCACCCUUUCCACCAGGAGGACCCUCCUGCAGCCAGCAGGGAAGCAGGGCCUGGCACCUGAGCCACGAUGAAAACCCAUCCCAUACACAGCCUUCGGCGAGGCAGAGGCAGUGAGCAGCUCGGGGAGGGCAGCAGGCUCAAACAAGCCUGCCGCCUGCUCAGUGAUUCAGCCAGAAAGCAGAUGUUCUGUACGAGGCAAACUGCUAACGUCUUAUUCAGCAAAGAUGACUACUGCGCAACAAGGCAGACCUUCCGUGUCUGGAAAAUGCAGUGUCUGAACACAACAGGCACAGCAGCCCGAUGCUCAGGAGGAGCCCAGCUCCAGCUGUCCUGCUGCCAGCUCCCAGGAUUCCAGCUGUUUAGCGAAGCUGGAAACCCACUCCAUCUAUUGCAGUUUCUGCUGCACUUUCUGGCCUCUGAAGGCCGGACCACCCCGGCAACCCCUGCCAUUCUCAUGCUGCUUUUUGUCGCUUAUGAGUUAACACAUGUUGAUACUGACAGCCCGGCUAUAAAAGCUGACUUUGGGAUGAAGGGCACAUGGCCCAUGUACCCGGCUGAGUAACAUCUGCGUGCGAUAAUGACGCCAGUUAUUAUAUUUAUGACUGCAUUUCCCUGGGAGACUGGAAAUACGACAUUCCACGUAAAGGCAACACAAUUAAUUUCGGGAGGUGGACAAAACAAAGGCAGCACAUUCUGGGUUAUGACAACUGAGGGCACACACCAGGAGGGCACCAACUGAAAGCAAUCUGAUCACAUAAAGCAAAGCAGCAAAUUCAUGGUGGAUCCUAACAGAGCAAACCCAGUGCUUUAACUAUAAGCUGUAAGAAAAACGGACACAAAACACUGCAAAACUUGCUUCAGUUUCCAACUGGUCACCAGAAGAUAAGUGCUGAAACAUCAGAUCUCCCUAAGCAAUACUUGCAGCUGGCUGCCUCUUCCAGAAGGCACAGUACCAAAUGCCAGAGCACUUUACAAAGGUGAUAACACAGAGCCCUAUUGCCUUUCCUUCUUACUUUCUGAUACUGCUGAAGAUUAGGCCACUGAAAGUAAAAGUAUGAAACCAAAGCUGCUGUAAACAAGAGGCCUGUCCAGCUAUACAAGAAGUAACCCCUUCUGUGAUUAACCUUGCCUUCGAGCCAAGGGUUCCUAAUGAGGCACCUGGGAGAGGAGCUGCUCGGCACCUACCUGAAUGCUUCAAUGAGGAGCUCCACACUCAGGCUGCUUUGCUGCACUCCAUCUCAACACAGACUGCCAGUCUCCCAUCGCUUGUGCUCCUUCCUUAACCAUAAACCUGAAAACAAGCUUUAUUCUAAAGCCCUCGCAUUUCAGUGCUUAUUGGACUGCCUGGAAUUUAAUCUGCUGUUUUAUUUACAUCUCUGAUGCUUUCUCACCUUCGUUUGAUGCUUCCACUACAUUCACCCUCCUUUCCACACCCUUUCUUCCCCACAAACACGCGAGCUGCCUGCUUCAUGGUCACAGGAACGCGAAGCUUAUGCAGAUGGUUCUGUUUUACCAGUUAAAUCAAUUUGCUUCUUUGCAGAAUACAACACACAGACUUCUCUGGGAUCUUCAUUGCCUGCAGCACGCGUGUAUUUUCUUUGUGUGCUUUGUUUUUCCUGUUGCAUCUAACAAUCACUCUCUAGGAAGUUAAAUACCCCGACCUCCACCCCCAUCUCACCUACGCUUUGAAUUGGGCAACUACCUACAACUUCAUCCCUUAAAACGCAUUAGACAUUUGUGAGUAAGGCUUUCUCCAAAGAAAGGGGGAAUCCAUUACUAUGCUUUAAGGAGAAAGGAUCUAAUGUAUAAUAACCUUCUCCUGCACUUGAAGCAAAAAGCCACAAGCCAAAUCAAAGGAGGAGAUUUGAUGUUGAGAUUGAGGCUCAUCUAAAUAUCUGGUGCAACACACACUUUCCUAAGAGCUGGGUUUUUGAGGACAAGAGGUAAAGAUGCAAUGUCAUAUGAACACCAGGCACUCCUAUCCCAUCACACACCACCGUGUCUACCUGAGAAGUCCUUGUUUAUGGAAAGAAAACAGCACCAGGGUUUACAGAAUAUGAAAUAAGCAUGUAACAUGCAGAAGCUUGUCCCAGGUACAAGCCUUGUACACUUGGAACAGCCAAUGAAAGCAUCCCUUGAUAGCAGCAGGCAGCAGCCGGGCAUUUCACCCUGCCCAGCACACAAGAGCACAAACUUCCCUUCACAAGUGCAGGAAACAAGAAAUACGUGGCAGUGCACACCAAAGAGUUAAAAAUACAGCAGCGGGUGCUUCGUGAACAACAGGUACUUUAUUCUGGUCACCUACUAAUAAGCCGAGGACUCUACAGUUUCAUGAACAGGUCAAUUCAGGCAGUCACUGUGCUUCGGGAAGUACAGAACUAUCAUUGCUUAUGAAACCAUUAAUUACAAGUGCUAACUGACGUUACUGGGAUCUCCAUUCAGCUGGCACUCACGUAUGCACAAUAAUCCUCAACUUGUUCCAUCAGGCAUCUCUGACCCUCAUGGCUUUUUGGAGCAGAGGAAGGUCCUUUAGCCACCACAUUCCUUCUAGAACUCCUUCACCUUUUGCAGCUCUCAUUCCUCACACCAGGUGGUUGGGUUUGUUUCUCAGCUCUUACUUCCCUCAUUUUCUUUUGGGAAGAAACUUCAAAAGAAGCCUGUUUUUUCAACAGAGAAACUUCCUUUUGGUUGCAACCACAGGUCCCUCUCUCCAUUCCAUUUCAGUGAGGUUUUAUGCCAGUACAGCUCCGUUAUUUAAAUGAAUUACAUAUGCAUCAUGCUUGUGUACAAAAGUAGACACAGCAAGGAAGGUAAGAGAGGUGUGGUUUUCCAGCAAGGCUGUAUUCCAACUAAUUCCACAAAAGACUGACCUGAUAUUUCCUUGCUCCAUCCUCAGCUGAAGAACCCCCCUUCCUUUUUCCCCCCUGCACAAGCACUGGUGCUGUUCUGACUUCAUGAGCUUCUUCAGGCAGCAAACUUCAUUGGGAAAGGCAAUAAAUGUGACCACUGACAUCCCCUAUCAGCAGAGCACAUUCUACAUCUGCUUAGCAGUAUUGUAAAAGAGCAGUUCAGGCAUGAAGAGUUUCAGCUUGCAACUUAGAAGUUUUGUUUUGGAGGAGCCAUGUGCACGAUCUGCUUUCUUUUACUGGAGAACUGCCAAAGAACUCUGGCCUUCAAGCACCAAGGACAAACCUCAGUGCUGUCCCUCAAAGGCACGGCACACAGCUGGCAUUGCUGCUGCAGGGUAACUACUGUCCUGUACACCAUAUAGUGCCACCCAAACCCAGGGCUCCUCUGGAGUCUCCAAAAGCCAAAGGACUGGACUAGACACCUCUAGGACCUUAUGACAGCGACAUGAGUCUCCCUGGGCUGACUUGUGUGCUGUCACCUGGUGCCAACAUACUGUUGACACAGCAGAGACUUCUCACAAAACGUACUACCUACCCUUGGGCUGGAAUACUGUUUUCUAAGGAGCCUUUACACAGUUCUGGUCCUUGGCCGUAAAACAGGAGCAGAAAACGAAUAGCAUUACUCAUUUGUAGGUCUGGUAAGCAACAGGAAAGUACUCAUUUUGGAUCCCAAGUGCUUAGUGGGACCACAGAUCAGCAGAAGGGCUGGCAGUGUGCUUCCAGGCCCAGCAUACAGCCCCUAGUAUGCCCAGGAGGACAAUUCUCCUGUGCCAUCUCCCCACUGGCACCACUCUUUGCUGCCUGAAGCUGAAAGUGAGGGUAAUAGCAGAGGAAUGGGGAUGUCAGGAGAGCACAGCCCAGCAUGAGCAGCCUGGAGAAGAGGAGGGAAGCUAAGA